GGGGAAUUUUCCGCAAUGGGCGCAAGUCUGACGGAGCAACGCCGCGUGAGUGACGAAGGUUUUCGGAUCGUAAAACUCUGUUGUGAGGGAAGAACAACAUGCCAACUAACUACUGGUACCUUGACGGUACCUCACCAGAAAGCCACGGCUAACUACGUGCCAGCAGCCGCGGUAAUACGUAGGUGGCAAGCGUUGUCCGGAAUUAUUGGGCGUAAAGCGCGCGCAGGCGGUCCCUUAAGUCUGAUGUGAAAGCCCACGGCUCAACCGUGGAGGGUCAUUGGAAACUGGGGGACUUGAGUGCAGAAGAGGAAAGUGGAAUUCCACGUGUAGCGGUGAAAUGCGUAGAGAUGUGGAGGAACACCAGUGGCGAAGGCGACUCUCUGGUCUGUAACUGACGCUGAGGCUCGAAAGCGUGGGGAGCAAACAGGAUUAGAUACCCUGGUAGUC
rnacentral:rRNA from 1 species